GUCUAUUUUAAAGCACUUUCCAUUUUAAAUAUAGCAAUAAAAUAUCAGCCUCGAAAUGUCUGAUAAGGAUAAAAGCAAUAGAUCCAAAUCCAAUCUAAAUCUGACACUGCCAGGAACAAGAAUUCACAUUGCAACACCCCUGCCCCAAUGUGGCUUCUGUUUUGGCCAUGUCUGGACCCUGGACUUCUUACAGCACGAUGGCAUGCAUAACCCUUAGGACACCCAAGGAUUUGGCAGAGGCACCAACUCUCCCAGACACCGUUUUAUGCUUGAUAUGGCUAUACUCACCUCCUGAUCAAGACUUUUCUUUUAAUGAUGAUCUCUUCAAAUUCCUUAUAGUCACAAGAGAAAAACUUUAUUCUGAAACAGUAAACACAUUCAGGAGCCUUUUACUCCUGGGUUAUAACUUCCACGGUGGCAAAACUGUUCUACCAUGUUUGGGUGUCGACCUCCCUUAGGAAGUUUUUCCAGGUCCUACCUCUACAAGAUCAGCAGGAAUCUCUGCUUCUAUUCCCUCCAGGCAACACACUCCUACUCAGAAGUUCACAUUAGAUAACGAC